CUCCGUCAGUCUACCCGGGAAAGAGCACCGAAGCGACGGUGCACCUUCGUUGGACCUCGCGCUACGAGGAAGUCACUACACAGGAUUGCUGUGUUGCACUUAAGGUGGCAGAGUCGUCUGCAGGAGAACAUCUGAAAUGGGAUUCUUGGAGAACAACAGAUUGCCAAUGUCACGUCUGGCAACCAUCACAUUUUAAUGCAAACAUUAAUAUCAAGCUGGACUUGUUUCACUGCAUGAGGCGGUUCCUCCGUGAGUGUGUGUCGGUGGCAUCCCGCCCAGUACAGUUCCUUUGCUCAGUUCCUCUGGACUGGGACAAGCACAACAGCAAGACAGAUCACACCCAGGCCCCGAAUCCACCUCCUCAAAGUGAUCCACUCGCUACCCAGUCGGAGGUUCAAGAAACUCUACGUCCGCCGUCGCUGGCAGUUAUCGACCUGCUGCUCAACAAACACCGUGAGCAGAAGGACAUGCUGAAGCUUGUGGACCAGGACUACGCUGCUCUAGUUCACAACUCCUGCACAGACCCCAACAGCAUGCUCCACCCGACAACAAAACUACAUGUUCUACAAUAUGUAAAGCACCUCAGCAAAUUGUUGAACACCAGUUCCUCUUUAAACGUCAGUCCAGAAAAACUGCAAGAGAGGCAGAAACUCUGUCACUCUCUGACAGAGGCGAGUGAGACUACUAGUGUGCAGGUUGUUACGAUGUCUGUUGCAUUUGUUCACCCACCUCCACCUGUUCAGAUGCUGACACAAGCUUCUAUUGAGAAGAUUGUACCCAACAUCAUGGAAAAGCAGCAGCAACAUAAACAGGAACAACAACAACAACCGGGGCAAAAGAAGGGCCGCACGAAAGACAAAGUUCUUUCAGCUAGAACUGGAUGCCACACAGAAAAGUUCCAUCUAGCAUUUUAAGUCCAAUUAUUUGUAAUAUUCAUGUUGUAAUUAGUUUAUAUAUUGGUUUCUUGCAUUUGUGACUUUGUACAUUGAAAUAUUAUCAUUUUAUUCUUUAUAUUUGGUUUUAAUAUUCAUUAGUUUAAUUAUUUAGAUGUCUUUAUUUCUGUAACAUUUUUGUUUGUAUAGGACUAUACAAAUCGGUUGAUGUAUCUGUGUUCAACAUUUACUGUCCAAGUUAAUACAUAUAUUUCAAUUA